AUUGUAUUAAAAAAAUGAAGAAUACAGCUAUAUACCAUUGAAAGUGCCAAAUUGGUGCAAUGGCCUUUUUAUAUCUUCCUGAAAAAUGGAGCUGCUUGAUCAACAUAGAGAAAAAUGCUGCUGCCUGGAGGUUGGACAAUUCAUGUGCAUCUGCAGGUAUUUUAAGGUCCUCUUAUGCACCUUCCAACAGAGAGGUUCCAUAAUUUUACCAAGAUCUUCAAUUGGACAGAAGUCCUUGAGAUGUUUCUGAAACACUAUUUCAAUCUUUAUUAUGAAAUCUAGCAAUGGAGAAGGCCAUUAGAUAUUGUUGCAAUUUGCAAUGGAGAGGGCCAUUAGAUAUUGUUGCAAUUUGCAAUGGAGAG
rnacentral:misc_RNA from 1 species